AUAAGAUUUUAAUUGAAUGCUAAGAGAAUGGAAUUUCAGAAAAAAACUUUUUUCAAGUUAAAAAUUGAAAUUUUUUUAAUUUGUGCAGAAACAAUUAUUAAUAUUAAGGACAAGAAGACCCUAUGAAUUUAUAAAUUUUAUUUAAUAUGUAAUUACUAUUAAAAAAAUUUUAGCUGGGGCGGCGGAAAAAUAUUUAAAACUUUUUAAGAAUAAAAUGACCCAUUAUUAAUGAUUAUAUGUUAAAUACUCUAGGGAUAACAGCGUUAUAUUUUUUGAUAGAUCAUAUUGACAAAAAAGUUUGCGACCUCGAUGUUGGAUUAGGAUACUUUUUUAAUGCAGAUAUUAAAAAAAGAAGUU
rnacentral:rRNA from 1 species